rnacentral:rRNA from 1 species
CCUACGGGAGACAGCAGUAAGGAAUAUUGGACAAUGCUCGCAAGAGUGAUCCAGCCAUGCCGCGUGCAGGAAGAAUGCCCUAUGGGUAGUAAACUGCUUUUGAACUAGAGAAAACCCCAGUACGUGUACUGGGCUGAUAGUAUAGUUAGAAUAAGCAUCGGCUAACUUCGUGCCAGCAGCCGCGGUAAGACGAAGGAUGCAAGCGUUAUCCGGAUUCAUUGGGUUUAAAGGGAGCGUAGGUGGACUGAUAAGUCAGUGGUGAAAUCUCCGAGCUUAACUCGGAAAUUGCCAUUGAUACUGUUGGUCUUGAGUACAGUUGCUGUGGGCGGAAUAUGACAUGUAGUGGUGAAAUACAUAGAGAUGUCAUAGAACACCGAUUGCGAAGGCAGCUCACAAAGCUGUAACUGACACUGAGGCUCGAAAGUGCGGGGAUCAAACAGGAUUAGAUACCCUGGUAGUCCGCACCGUAACGAUGAUUACUCGCUGCUAGGGGGCAACCUUUAGUGGCUUAGCGAAAAGGCGAGAAGUAAUCCGUACCGUGGGUAGGUACGCCGGCGACGGUAGAAACGUUAAAGGUAAGUUAGGACGGCGNGAGGACGNGCGACGGCGACGACGAGGGAGGAGG